rnacentral:tRNA from 1 species
GGGGCUGUAGCUCAGCAGGAUAGAGCGAGUGCCUCCUAAGCACUAGGUCGUGCGUUCGAAUCGCACCAGUCCCG